rnacentral:rRNA from 1 species
AACUUAAAGGAAUUGAGGGGCCCCCGCACAAGCAGCGGAGCGUGUGGUUUAAUUCGAUGCUACACGAAGAACCUUACCAGGGUUUGACAUACAAGUAGUAGGGAAAGGAAACUGGACCGACCCUUCGGGGAGCUUGAACAGGUGCUGCAUGGCUGUCGUCAGCUCGUGUCGUGAGAUGUUCGGUUAAGUCCGCUAACGAGCGCAACCCUCGCUGUGUGUUACAAGUGUCACACGGAACUGCCGGUCAUAAACCGGAGGAAGGUGGGGAUGACGUCAAGUCAGCAUGGCCUUUAUAUCCUGGGCUACACACACGCUACAAUGGGAAGGGACAAUAGGUUGCGAAACCGCGAGGUGGAGCCAAUCCAGCAAAACUUCCCUCAGUUCAGAUUGCAGGCUGCAACUCGCCUGCAUGAAGUUGGAGUUGCUAGUAAACGCAGGUCAGCCAUACUGCGUUGAAUACGUUCCCGGGGCUU